UACGAGGGGGGCGAGCGCUGUUCGGAAUUAUUGGGCGUAAAGGGUGCGUAGGCGGUUUGGUAAGUCUUGUGUGAAAUCUUCGGGCUCAACUCGAAGUCUGCACGAGAAACUGCCGGGCUUGAGUAUGGGAGAGGUGAGUGGAAUUCCCGGUGUAGCGGUGAAAUGCGUAGAUAUCGAGAGGAACACCUGCGGCGAAGGCGGGUAGCUGGGCCGACACUGACGCUGAGGCGCGAAAGCCAGGGGAGCGAACGGG
rnacentral:rRNA from 1 species